GAGGGCAUGGCUCAGUGCUAGAGUGUGUGCUUAGCAUGCACGAGGUCCUGGGUUCAAUCCCCAGGACCUCC
rnacentral:tRNA from 1 species